rnacentral:lncRNA from 1 species
GCGGAACCCGUCAUCAGCUAAGUACAGAGCGGGCGGCGGGCGGGGCGGCGGCCGGGGAAAUUGCCGGUUCCCGUGCCCCGCGGGGCCUGCGGGCGCCCCGAGUCUGGGGGCCCGGGGCGGGCGGGCCGGGGUCCGGGGGAUCCCGGGGGGUCACGGGCGGCCCGGGUCCGAGUGCGCCGGUACUGAGCUCGAGAACGGCCCCCGCUGGGGAAGGAGCCGCUGGCAGCGCGGGGGCCGCGCGCAGGGCAGGGGGCGGCGGCGGCGCCGGCGCGGGCGGGGAGGGAGGGCGCGGCUCCGGGCGCGGGGCCAGGUCGGGCGGCCCGGGGCUCCGCGGGGGACGCGCGGCGAGGACGCGGGGCUCUCGGCACCCCUCUCCCGUAGCGGGGCCCUGCCCCGGCUCUUAGAAAGAGCAUUGGGCUCCGGGCCAGAGCGCCGUGGGGCCAGCGCCCCAGCCCUUAGUGAAUUGCUUCAUCUGCCACUCAUGUCCUGCGCCCUGGAAGCUGCAGAGAGAGCCUCGGCUCCCCGUGCAAGCGCUGGGCUGACAACUGACAGCGGCGACGCUUGGAAUGAGACGUCCAAGGGUUCAAGGGUCAACUCUUUCCUCCAGGCCUAGCAGAUCAUAGAUACUCCUUCUUCUUAAACUUAUUAAGGAAAAAGGCAGUCACUCAUGCCUUCCGCCAACAAAUAUUGACUGAGCACCUACUAUGCGCUAGACAUGCUGCUAGGCCUUGAGGAUGGAGGGGUGAAUGAGACAGGCAAAGCCUCAUGUUCUUUUGGUGGAGACAAGCAAUAAACACUUGAAUACACAUCUCAGACAAGAUAGUGCUGCAGAUGGUGAUGGGUGUCAGGGAGACUCCUCAUCACCUGAGGCAAGGGGAAAAGGCAUUGUGGGAGACGGGGGAGCUGUUCUAUUUGAGACUCAGUGGCCCCAGAGGAAGGGCUUCCUGGGACAGUGCCCUUUAAGCUGAGACCUGAGCAAAGCGUGAGAUUUAGCAAGGCAAUUUUCUAAGGGAAGGUUUUUUAGAUAAAGCAGACUGCAGGUGCAAAGUUCCCAGCCCUUGCUGGUAGAAUGAUCUCUCAGGCUCCUGAGCCCCCAAAGCACAAGAUUGCACCCCUUCCUCUGACAAGAGAGGAAGCGUGAAGCCCAGAUCUGGAGUCAGGCAGACCUGGCUUUACAUUCUGGCCCUGGUACUCACUAGCUGUGUGACCUUGCACACAUCACUUAGCCUCUCUGAGUGGUAGUUCCUGCGUCUGUCACAUGGGGAGAAUAAUGCUCUGUUCUUUACAGGUUUGUGUGAGGAUUCAAUGAAGUAACACCAAAAUGUUGCAAGCCCAGACUUGGGCAUCCUUAUGUGCUCAAACAAAUGAUCUCUGGGUUCCCUAAGAAGACCUCACCUUCUGCAUCUGAAAACUAGGUCUCUCUGACUCGGAGUGAAAAGCGAAUUUACCUUUCCCCAUCCUGGUGGCAACGAGGGGGCCCAUGGUAGAACUGUGCGCAGCUUGGACAAACUCUGGGAGAGGGGUCCCAGCUGGGGUUUCCUGUUGGACGCCCUUUGGAACUCAGAGCCCCGUUGACAGGAGGAGAGAGGAGCAGUUGAUUGGACAGCUCCCCACCCAGCCAGCCACACUAUCCGAGUCUCAGGCAUUUGGUGGAGUUCAGAGAGGAGGCCUCCAGCAAGCCCAGGUCAGGGCCAAGCUGUCACACUGGUGAGGUUCAUACUUCACAUUCUCACCCUCUUCCCCAGGCUUCCCCUCCCUGCCUCCUUUGCUAAACUUGCCCUUCCUUGAGAAAGGACGGGAGCUCAGUCGCUUUACAGCGACUAAGAGAGGAUGUCAGUCUUUGGAGAUACUCCUUCAUUUGACAUGUGGGGAAUCUGAAGCCCAGAGAUGGCAGGGCUUUGCCAGAGGCUACACAGCAGUCCUGAGGAUGAGAAUUCAUGUCAGAGACCCUUGAUCUAGGGCUGUUUCUCUAUGGUACUUCAUAGCCUAGUUCUGCCCAUUUUACAGAUGGAACAAACUGGGGCCCAAAACUGUGACAUAAGCCAGCAAAGGCUUCCCAGGCCAACAUUAGCAAUGAGGAAUGAGGAAUGUACUUUAGGCAGGGGUUGGGGGGAAUGGGAUCCUUCCAGGACCCCUCCAAUUAUUCGUAGACCCACCUGCUUUGAAGAUGAUCUCUGCCUCCCCUCUCCGCCCAGGGAAAAGACAUCUGGAGAGAUCUGUAGCUAUCAGCUCCCCUUUGUCACCCAGGAAUCCUAAAUCUCCCUAUCCUGACAGAUCAGCCCAGCUGGGGCCCAGAUCCACAUUGGUGCCCUUGUCUGUCUGGCUCCCGUGAGAGCUGGCUAUGAUGGUUGUGCACCUGGAGGCCACUAAGGUCAGGGUGGGCACCGCCUCACUCUGCUCCAGGGCUCUAGACCAAUGCCUAGGUAGGAGCUUUUUCUCAAGACUCGGACAUCAACAGCCAGGCCUGGCAUCAAAAGCCUCUCCUCACCUGCAUGUUUGCUGCCAGCUGCUCUGAGGGGUUGCGUUUCAUUUGUUCAUUAGCUCAUUCAUUCAUUCUUUCUUGCAUUCAAUAUCUCUAGAGAACCUGCAAGGUGCCAGGCACUGCCCCACACAUUGAAGGUAGAGCAGCAAACAAGAUGGUGGGGCCCUGCCUCCUGGAGCUCACUUUCUGGGGUGGGGAGACAGGCAGUAAAUCAAUAUACACAAGACAGAAGGUCAGAUGGAGGUAUCAAGGUGAGGCGGUGGUGCAUGAUGGGGGUGUUCUUUUAGACCAGGUAGUUGAGCAGCGGCCAUGAAAAAGUGGGGGUAGCGGGUCGGGGGUUCCUUGCUGAUGUCUGGGGGAGAAAUUUAGAAAGAGGGGCCUGUAAGUGUCAAGGCCAUGAGGGAGAAACAUGCCUGGUGUUUUGGGGGAUAGCAAGGAACGCAGUGUGGCUGGAGUGAGGGGGACAGAUGAGCGCGUGGGCAGGGAUGAGACUGGAGAAGGGAGGGGCCGCACAGUGGGGGGGUGGGCGGAUGGGGGACCCUCAAGGCACCGAGCUGCCCCACUUAUUCCGUGUCAGCCUCUGUCCAGCCCCUGCCUUGGGUGGCACCGUGCUGUCCCAGGCAGCGUGGACAUCAGGAGCUCAUUACAGAGCAGGCUGUCUGAGGGGCUUCUCUGCUUCUGCCACAUCCUCACACCCCUUUCACCUGUCCUAAAAGGCAGGAUGAAAAGGAUGAGAGAGGAAGCUGGCCUCCUGUGAGAAGAUGCUGGACUCAGAAAUCUUUGAAUUCUAGGCUUCACCUCUGAGUGACUGCAUGAACUUGGAAGAGCUACUUAAACGCUCUGAACUUCCGUUUCCAUAUCUGGCUAAAUAUACUGGCAGCACAAAUAGCUAUGAAAGCUAAGGGUCCACCACCCCCUGACCCAGCAGGUACACUCCUAGCUACAGACCCAAGAGAAAUGAGCACACGUGUCCAAAAGGCACGGACAAGGUGUUCGUGGGGGUUGUUCACAAUGGCCCCAAAUGAGUCAACCCUGAGGCUCAUCAUCAGAAGAAUGGCUGAAGCCGUGUGGGAUAGUUGUAGAGUGGAAUAUUUCAUAGCAACAACAUAAUGAAACUGCUGAUAGAUGCAGCAACGUGGAAGAAUCUGACAUUUUGUUGAGUGAAAGAAGCCAGACACACAAGAAUAGGAGCUGUGUGAUUCCAUUAAGCCGAAUUCAAUAACAGGGCCUCACUCUGUCACCCAGGCUGGAGUGCAGUGGCAUGAUAUCAGCUCACUGCGGCCUCAACCUCCCAGGCUGAAAGGAUCCUUCUGCCUCAGCCUCCGGAGUAGCUGGGACUACAGGUGCCACCACACCUGGCUUUUCAUGGCUUAUCUUGUUUCAUCCCCUGCUCUCCCACAAUGACCAAGUUACUUCUGAAGCGAAUCCUAGAUGUCGUAUCAUUUCAUUCCUAUUCAAUAUUAUGUCUAAAAGACAUGGAUUCCUUUUCUUUGUUUGUUUUGCUUUUGAGAUGGAGUUUCACUCUUGUUGCCCAGGCUGGAGUGCAAUGGUGCGAUCUUGAUUCACCGCAAGCUCCACCUCCCGGGUUCAAGCCAUUCUCCUGCCUCAGUCUCCCGAGUAGCUGGGAUUACAGGCAUGUGACACCACACCUGGGUAAUUUUGUAUUUUUAGUAGAGACAGGGUUUCUCCAUGUUGGUCAGGCUGGUCUCGAACUCCCGACCUCAGGUGAUCCACCUGCCUCGGCCUCCCAAAGUGCUGGGAUUACAGGCGUGAUCCACCAUGCCCGGCCAUGGAUUCCUUUUUUAAAAAGCCACAAUACCCUUAUCACAUAUAAAAUGUGUGCCAUUAUCACUCUUCCUAUCAUGAACUCUCCAGUCAGUGCUCACAUUUCCCAGUGUCUCAUGAAUGUCAUCAUUUCUCUUUUUUCAACUUGUUUGUUUGAAUCAGGAUACAAAUAAGGUCACUGUGUUCCAAUUGGUUUAUGUGUCUUUAAGUUACUUUGUUUGAAAGUCAUUUGGAAUAGUUUUUCUCUUUGUGGUAUUAAAGUAAAUUAAAAUGAAGACCAGGCCUAAAGAAUCCCUGAGCAAACAAAACCAGUUAGGCUCAGAAGUAGCCAACAAACUUAUAAUUAUAUAAUGAGGGACUUUCCUAUGGGAUAGAUUAAAUAAGGCAACUGUAUAACUGUAACCAAUCAAAUAUUUUCUUUGCUUUACUUCUGUGUUCCUUGUAUAAAAACCCAUCCCUUGUGUUCCCUCACUUCUGGUUUGGAACUGCCCAAUUCAUGAAUUGUUGUUUGCUCCUAUAAAUUCUUUAAAAUUUUAUUGUGCCUCAGUUUACUUUUUUCUUAUUUUUAGAGACAGGGUCCAGAUCUGUUACCCAGGCUGAAGUGCAGUAGCAUGAUCUUAGCUCACUGCAGCCUCAAAUUCCUCAAUCCUCCUGCAUCAGCCUCCUGAGAAGCCAGGACUACAGGUGCACAGCAGCACACCUGGCUAAUAUAUAUAUUAGAAACAGGGUCUUGCUAUGUUCCCCAGGCUGGGCUAGAGCUCCCAGCCUCAAGUGAUCCUCCUGCCUCAGCCUCCUAAAGUGCUGGCAGAGGUGAGCCACUGGGCCUGGCCUCAGUUUAAUUUGAAUGGUGGUUAAAUAAUUAAUUCAAUGUGUAGAUUUAUUUGCUUUAUUUUACUUUAGGUUUUUAGAAUUUUUAAAGCUUUUUAUUUAGAAAUUUAUUUAAAGAUUUUAAAUUUUAUUUCUGGUUCCAAAAUCUAUCAUACAAAUAUAUCCAGAAAGGUCUAGCUUUUAUGCCCCUUUCAAUCCUUUCCCUUCCCCAUAACUAUUAAUUUUUAAACAUUAUUCUUUAUUAUUACAUUAAUUUAAUAUGUAUCACAUACAUAAUGCAUAUGUAUUCGUAUCCCUCCCUCCUUUUUUUUUUUUUUUGUUUGAGAUGAGGAUCUCACUAUGUUGCCCAGGCUGGACUUGAAAUCCUAAAUUCAAGCAAUCCUCCUGCCUCAACCUCGAGUAGCUGGGACUACAGGUAUACGCCUCCACGUUUGGCUCUUCCUUCCUUUUAGGUAAGGAUUAGCAUGCAAUGACACUUCUCUGCCUCUUGCUGUAUUCACUGUCCAUCCCACUCCAGCUGUCUCUCCCUAGUAGUUGGUCAAGAUUGUCCUCAGUCCCCUUUACAGCCACAGAGUCCUCCAUUGUGCUGAUAACCACAGGCCUCUGCUGAUGGACAUUUUCCUUGCUCCCAUUCUUUAGCGAUUACAAAUUGAAUUGCAAUAAAAAGCCUGUGCUUACACCUUUUGGUAUUUUUGCUAGUGUCUCUCUACGGUAGAUUCCCAGCAAUGGGAUUCUUGAGUCAAAGGUUGAACAUACAUGCAAUUUUGCUAUAGCUAUUGCCAAAUUCCCCUGCAGAAGGCCUGCAUCAUUUUGCAUUCCCGUCAGCUCUGGCUAGGAGUGCCAGCAGAAUGCAUUGCCAAACUUUUGGAUUUUUGACAAUCUGAUAGGUAGGAAAUGGUAUCUCUGAGUAGUUUUAAUUUGCAUUUCUUUUGUUUGAGCAAUGUUGAUCAUAUUUUCACAGGGUUAUGAGCCAUUUGCAUUUCUUUGUCUGUGAAUUGUGUGUUAAUAUUUUUGUUUUGUUUUUGAGACUGAGUCUUGCUCUGUCACCCAGGCUGGAGUGCAGUGGUGCGAUCUCGACUCACUGCAAGCUCUGCCUCCCAGGUUCAUGCUGUUCUGCUGCCUCAGCCUCCCCAGCAGCUGGGACUAGAGGUGCAGGCCACCACGCCCAGCUAAUUUUUUUUUUUUUUUUUGUAUUUUUAGUAGAGACGGGGUUUCACCGUGUUAGCCAGGAUGGUCUCAAUCUCCUGACCUCGUGAUCUACCCGCCUCAGCCUCCCAAAGUGCUGGGAUUACAGGCGUGAGCCACUGCGCCCGGCCAUUGUCUGUUAAUAUUUUUAGCCCAUUUGUCUAGGAAGUUGUUCGUUUUUCCCUUCUCUACUUUUAGAAGCCAUUCACUAGAGACAUUCAUGCUUUGCCUGUGAUACAGGUUGCAAGUGUUUUCUGCCGUUUGUCAUUUGUCUUCUUUCUUUCUCUGUUUGUUUGUUCGCUUAUUUAUUCAUUUAUUCUGGGGAUGUAGCCAUGAACAGGGUGACCCUGAGGGGCUCCACUGACAUGCACAGCCCAAGUCAGAACCUUGGAUGGUCCUGUAUGCGCCUCGUCCCAACCCUUCCCUGUGCUGUCCUUUCUGCCUCUGACCCCUCUCCUGCUGCCCAGUGACCACCCUGCCCCUGUCCUUCCCUGCCUGGGCCCUCAGCAUCACCCAGUCUGAGCUCACAGAGGACUGGAAACAAGCCUGUUUGUCUCUGUAUCCCCCCCACGACGUGCAGGGCAACUGAUCAGUGAAUGAGUGAAUGAAUGAAUGAAUGAAUGAAUGAAUCCUGUGUGGCUAAAACAGCCUCUCCGCCCAGGAAGCCAAGUCAGAGAGGAGCUUGGAAGAGCACUUUCGAGAUCAAGGUUUCUUCACCCCUUGCAUUCUCUUCAGACCUAACUCAGGUCUGAGUUUCUACUCCCAAAUGCCUCACAGGCAAUAUAUGAUGCCUGCUUCUUUUCAUGAUUUAAAAGAACACUCGCUUAUUGUAGAAAAUGUGGAAAAUACAGCAGUACAAAAAAAGAAUUAGAAAUUCUCCAUUAACUCAUUGCCCAGAGGAAACGGCCGUGGGCAUUUUGGUGUAUUUUUAUUCAACUUUGAAAGACAUAUUUUAUUUUUACACAUUUUAUUUUAUACAGUAUAGACAUACAUAUGCAUACACGCCUCCUCUCAUGACAUUAAACUUUUGCACAACUUCACAAUUGUAAAUGAUCACAGAAAAAUGCCUCAAAAUGAAUGUAUCAUAUCCUAGCCCCACCACUUAACCUCUCUGUGCCUCAGUUUUCUCCUCUGUAAAACGGGGAUAAUAAUAGUAUCUACUUUAUAAGUUGCUUGUAAGGGUUCAAUGUGAUUAUGGUGUGAAUGUGGGAAGCGCUCAGAAAGUAUCAUUUUCAUUAUUAUUAGAACUAUUAUUCCUUAAUUGCAAACAUUUAAAUUCUAAUUUUAUUCUAUUGCAAAUGACACUGUAAUGAAUCUCUCUGCUCGGGAGGGUUGUGUGGGAACCUCAGGGAGCUUGCUUCACCCACCCCCGCCCCCCAAAUUAAGCACAACAGGGACAGAGAGAGCGAGGUGUGCUGGGAGGCCCCGUGGCUAAAAGUUAGGAGACCAGAUCUUGGCACUGGCAGCCUGGGGAAGGAGGGCAAAGGGGUGGGGGUGCAGGGAAUGGCAUCUGUGAAAGCUCAGAAGCUUCUAGAAGAGCAUGGGAAGUUCUGAUGUGGUUGCUGGGAUGGCAGUUCUUGUCCCUAUUUGACCUAUGGGUAAUUGAGGGCCAGGAAAGGGGUGACUUGUCUGAUGACGUGGAUGGGCACCAAGUCUGAGCUUCCUGGCUCUCCACAUGCCUGAAAAACAUCUGUGUUUGUUGGGAGAAGGAGAUGAAGAAGAGGAGGAGGAGGAAGAAUUUGGGGCUUUCGAAGCAUGCAUGCCUGUGUGCCCCUGCCCAAUCAAGGUUCAGCUGUCCUGCAAAGCAACCCAGCGGGUCCUGUGAGCUGGAGGCCAGUUUGCCCUGUUUGUCUCCAUGGGUCUUUUCCCUGAUGUCUCCCAAACAGAGACCGUUGGGCUGGCAGCUGGCAGGUCUCCUGAGCUCCACCCUCACCUCCCAUCCCUUCAACCCAGUAGCCUUGCAGACAAAGGCUGGAAAGCCAGGUCCCAUUUCCAGUCAUCAUCCACAGUGCAUAAUUAGGCAGUGCUUGCCUUGUGUUUAUUUAAAGAAGGAGUGUGAACUUGGCAUCAGUGCUUCUGCCAAGAGGGAAGAGCCCCGGAAGGCCCAGAGAAAGCUGGGGGCUUGGGCAGCAGGGGUUUGAGGCCUGAGAGGCCAGGCCGGCCUGUGGUAUAGACAUCGACAAGCAAAGUUUGAGGACUCCUGAAAGUUCUCCAAAAUCUUACCUGCUACCUGUCACCAUUCUCAGUCCGUUAUUAGAACUGUAGCUUCUCAACAGCUUUCUAAGUUCCAAAGAAAAUGCAAAUUAAUACUUCUUGGGGCGCCUCUAUCCUUUAUGGUCUGAAUUUGAGAACAUUGCAAUAGCAGCCUCAUUGCUGCACUAGUCCAAACACUUCUGUGUAACCCUCUUCCACAUGCAGUACUGAGGAGUUCUUGCUGCCUACUGUUUACAGAGGGUAGUCCAAGAAAUAAGAAAUGUCAGUCCCACAUGGUGAAAACUCUGCACUCUAGGGCUUGGGAAUUAUCUGCUAAUAAGACCUGACAUUUCUGAAGGCCAUUAUGAGUUAAACCUCAGGCUCAGAAUGUAUAAUGGGGAGAGAUUCUAGAUACUUCUAGACCACUCUUCUCAUGGAGUAGAAAAAAAUGUAGAGAAACCUCAGAGAGGGGAAGGGACUUACCUACACCAGUUAACGGUAGAGCUAGGACUAGAACACAGGUCUCCUGAUUUCAGUCUCAACUCUCAGGCACCAUGUUGCUUCCCUCCAUUCAAAGAUCAGUGAGGGGGCAGUCAGCACCAGCUGGAGUGUGGCAGUGAAGAGCUCACAGUCCCUGCCCAAGAGGAGCUCCCAGAGGCUGACAAGGGUAUGGGAACAGGGACUCAUCUGAAUCAGAGUGGGUGGAGUUUAGACAGGGGUGGGUCUGAAGAACUGUGGGGAACAGGGUGGUGAGACAGACAUCAGCAAAUUUCCCAAGGGGGUUAGCACAGGAGGUUGAAGGAUGAAUGGGGCUUCUUUACCAGGAGACAUAGGGAAAGGUGUUCCGGGAAAAGGGAAGGGCAAACUCAUGGGAAAAGGAGGCUGAUUUCUCCUGUUCCCAGGUUACAGUGGAUUCCCUGCGGGCUUAACCAGGAUCCCUAGCGCUCAGUGCAGACCCUCCCACGGCAGGGCCCGAGGCUGUAAUCUGUAACCUUAUUGUGACAUAUAUAGUUACAAAGAGAUUGGUUGGACAGGAUGGAUUUUAAUCGAAAAGAGUUAGCCUCUACUGGUGGAAAUGCGGACAUUGUGGCAGGUGAUGAGAAGAAUCCUUUUUGGGGUAGCAGUGGUGAAAACGCUUGCAUGGGUGCGCUGGCAUGCGUGCAGGGACACCUCUUCCUUGUUCUCAAUUCUGUUGACUUUCAAAUUGCAGUUUAAGAGCCAUCUUCCCAUGUCCAACUGUUAAGGUGGCCACUACCCCCUCCCUCUUCUGGACCAUGCCAUCCCCUGCUCUGAGUCUCAGUUUCUCCACAUGUAAAAUGAGGCAGGUGGACUUGCUUGUCUUAAAGGCCCCUUCUGCCUGGGGCUGGUUCUUUAGCCCAGUCUCUGCUUCUCCCUCUGCGGGGAUGUCAGAGGCGCCCUCUCGUGGUCAAUAUUGGCCAUGCAUCCUUGGACUUGGCGCAGGUUUUUGCUUGGCCUCUGAGGGUGUGUGCUUGUGUGUGCAUGUGCGUGUGAGCGUGCCUGUGUACUGGGAGUGGUUACACAGCGGGUGCGUGACAGGCUCAUGACACAUAGAAUGCAGAGCUUCGCUAACUCUCAGACCCUGAUGAAAACACAGAUAAGGAGGUGGGGGUCAUUUAAAAUAAGGGCAAAACCUGCUAAAAGCUUCCUGGGGCCCUUGCCUGGGACACCUAGAGUUCCAAAAUGCCCUAGGCCACCCAUCUUGCUAAUAUACUUUGAGAGCAUCACUCCUCUGCUCAGAAUCUCAUCCUGCCACCCCUCUGCUGAACAGAGUAAACAUCAAACUCCUGGCCCUCCAGAAUACCUGUGGCCUCACUUCUCACUCUUCUUUCCUAUACCACUCCAGGUGAACCACUCCAUCCUUCCCAUCCCCUAUCCUCAGCUUAUGCUGGGAUUUUUUUUCCCAGAGUGUCCUACCCUCUCCUUUAGUCCCCCAUAGCACCUUUCAAGAUGUGGCUAAAAUGCCACCUCCUCCAGGAAGACUCCCUGAAUUUUCCCACUUGGAUCUGUGCUCUCUUUCCUCUGAACCUCCUGGCAACUUUGUCUAUAACUGUCUCCUGGGAUGUAGACAGUUUUAGAGUUUACCCAGGUAAUUUAGGUCGAAGAUGUCCUGUUUUGUUCCCCCUACUCAAAAACUGGCUCCAUGACUGCUUUAUAUCUGGGUCCUUCUAAAUACUGAGCCUUCCCCAUGGCAUCCAGGCAUCCCUCUGCAAGGCCCUGAUUCCCACUCCUUCCCUCUGCCUCCUCCUUCAGUAGGGGCUGCUGUCAUGCAAGGAGGUCUGGCAGUGGAGGAAGAAGACAUGAGCCUUGGGCCAGACUCUUACUGGAUUCCCACCCCACCUGCCCCGUCUUCAGCAGACAAGCUGGUACCCAGCACAAAGGCUCCAGCUGCUGAGCUGUGUGUGGGAGCCUGGUCUCUGGGUGCCCAGAAUGAAGGGUCAGACCCAGGUCACUGCCUGACUCUUUCUUUCAAGGACCGAAGUAAGAACUACAGGCCUAACAGUAACAUCCCUGGCUAUUUGUAGAAGUCCGCUUGGUCGGUCCAUGCUCUAUAACAUGAAUUUCUCAUACAACCCAUUUUUAGAUGGGGAAACAAGAGCUCAGAGAGGCUAGGUAACUUGUUCAAGAUCACACAGCUCUGAGUGCAAGUGUUCAAACAUAGUCCCCACUUUCCAUCCGUCUCCAAAUCCUGUGCAGUUUCUGGAAUAUUCUGCUGUCACUGUGCCUUGCACAAAUCCAGGUUUUGAUAAAUUCCUGGAUAAUAAAAGGCAGACAUGAGUCAACAUAUAACCAGCUCUUUCUCUUUGACUUCCAUAUUGCCCCAGGCCCACACGCGGACCUCUGCAUGAGGGAAGAGUGACAGAACUGGGUUUGUCUGAGAGGGUGAUGGCUCGGGGGGCCAAAGGGAGAGGUGAACCCUGCAUCCCAGGAGGGGUGAAUUCUCUGAUGUGAAUCAUCUGGGUGGUAGGGAGUAAUGGGUCCUGGGCAUGGUGGGGACUGUCACACCCUGAUGCGCUGUCCCAGUUAGGUUGGAGGAGGCUGGGAGGGCCAUCUGACCACAAUGCAGGUCUGUUGCGGACCUCAAGGAGCCUGCAGGGAGUGCAGCCACCUCAGGCACACACCUUGGUGAUAGAUUUUACUGCUCAGCUGCUGAAGCCAUUGGUCAAUGAUGCUCCUCACAGUCAGAGAUCUGAGAGGGGCAUUUUCACAGCCACCACAGACCUUCUGCCUCCCAGGGCCUCCUCACUGGCCUGGCCUGGAGGACUGCCACUGGCACCCACAGUUAGAGGGAAGGAAGUUUCAGGCCUCUGUAACCCAGGAGAGAAGUCCACUAGUCCAGUCCAGGCCAGGUGUCCAGCUCUGGUGGGUGGAACCAUUUGCCCAGCUGUCCUUUGGCUGAGGGUUGGGGCCUGACCUCUGAAGUGAAGGCACCCACAGAGCUGGCCAUUGAGGCAAAUGUCCAGAAUCCUGGGGCAUGGGCACCGGCAGGGGAGAUGAGGUCAUGUGAGAUGUAGGUGCCACUCUCUUGCAGAACCCACCCUCGCACCUUGGCACACAGUGGCUCCACGAGGCCAAGAGCUGGUCUCUUGUUUAUCUGGGUGUAGGGCGUGCACACUGCCUGGAACUGACAGUGUCAGGGACUUCUGCUGGCCAGGACAGACCCCAUGCCUACUCAAUGGCCAUCAGCCCUAGGGCAGCAACAUCAGGAUCUGUCUUCCCCAUUGGUCAGGGGGCUUGUGGUAGGUUCAAACCACUGAUGGCAAGCAGUCCAGGCUCUAGUGUUGGUUUGGGGUCUGGCUCUCUCACUAACCUGAGCAAGUCCCUUACAUCCCCAGGGCUCAGUUUCCUUAUCUGUUGAGUAGAGAUCAUCACACUGAUGGCGAAGAGGCCUUGUGGUAUGGAGGGUUUGGGUUCAACUUUUUUUUUUUUGAGCUGAUUUGAAUCCCAUUUCCCUGGUUAUUUGCUAUAUGGCCUUAGGCAAGUUACUCAAUCUCUUGAAGACUCAAUUUCCCAUCUACAAAAUGGGAGUGAAGAAGAAUCUCUUCUUCUUUCCAAGAAAUGUACAUGUGAGGAUUCAAUAAGGGAACGCUCAGGCAGCUCUGAGCACAGCAUCUGGAGCGUCACUGCGAUGUGGCAGCACGCUCUGCAGCAUGCAGGACAGACACACUCCUUCCUCUCUCCUCCUUCACCUCUUCCCCAGCCCCACCCCUCACAUCUCCUUGGCUAAUGGGUCAAGCAGUGGUCAGUGUCUGGCCAACAGUGGAGACUCAACCAUGCACAGAGAGUGAAAAUGCAGUGCGCACCUCCUGUCCAGGUAGCCCCAACCUCAUUCAUUCACUUCCAGAAUGGCAGGUGCUGUGCUGAAUGCCUGGGAAGAUGGCCCCAAUGUUCCUCCCCAAGGGAUUGCCAGUCACAUCAGCACAGCACGGGAUGGAUCCUGCUGUGCCAACACUCUCUGCAGGCUUGUGGGGACCCUGGCUGAGAUGUCUGGACACCUGGAUUUCAAUCCGGUCUUUGCCAUCCACUCCCUGUGUGGCCCUCCCCCGCAAACUAAAUAAAAAUUUCAUGAGUUGGGGAAGGAGACUCAAGGGGAAGUGAGACGAGAGGACGGAAGUGAGUUGAAGAGCAGGGAGGAGCCUGGAGCCUGGAGCCUGGGCCUCCCUGUGCUGUGAUGUGUGCCAGAGUGGAAGCGGAAGUGGAAGCAGAAGCAGAAGUGGUCCUGCCGGUAGGUGUGACUGGCCUCACAGAGCUGCCAGGAUGCACCUGAGUGCUCAAGAGGGUUUCCCACAGCCCCAGGUGGAUUGGACUCAGAAGCAUGUUUCUGAUGUGCUCAAGAGUGUGGCCCAGACAAGGCACAGAGGACAGGAGUGUCAGAGGCAUUCAAACAAGAGCGACUCCAUCCUGAACGGGGGCUGGGUAAAAUGACGCUGAGGCCUGCCAGGUUGCAUUCCCAGGAGGUUAGGCAUUCUUAAGUCACUGGAUGAGAUAGGAGAGGGGCACAAGAUACUGGUUACAAAGACCCUGCUGAUAAAACAGGUUGCAGUAAAGAAGCUCGCCCAAACCAAAAUGGCAAUGAAAGUAACCUCUGGUCAUCCUCACUGCUCAUUACACGCUAAUUAUAAUGCAUUAGGAUGCUGAAAGACACUCCCACCAGCCCCAUGACAGUUUACAAACGCCAUAGCAACAUCUGGAAGUUACUCUAUAUGACUUAAAAGGAAAAGGAACUCUCAGUUCUGGGAAAUUCCCACCCCUUUCCUGGAAAAUUCAUGAAUAAACCACUCCUUGUUUAGCAUAUGAUCAAGAAAUAACCAUAAAAGUAGCCAACCAGCAGCCCUUCGUGCUGCUCUGCCUGUAGAGUAGCCGUUGUUUUAUUCCUUUACUUUCUUCAUAAACUUGCUUCUGCUUUACUCUGUUGACUCGCUGAUUUUUCUUUCUUGAGACAGAGUCUGGCUCUAUCGCCCGGGCUGGAGUGCAGUGGCGCAAUCUCUGCUUAUUGCAACCUUCACCUCCCAGGUUCAAGCGAUUCUCCUGCCUCAGCCUCCCAAGUAGCUGGGAUUACAGGCAUGCACCACCACACCCGGCUAAUUUUUGUAUUUUUAGUAGAGACGGGGCUCUGCCAUGUUGGCCAGGCUGGUCUCGAACUCCCCACCUCAGGUGAUCUGCCCGCCUCAGCCUCCCAAAGUGCUGGGAUUACAGGCGUGAGCCACCACGCCCGCCUGGAAGAUACUCAUUUUAUGGGAAAUAAUUCCUGGGUCCAAGCAAAGUGGGAGGUAGGUUAGAAGACCCCUGCAUAAAGCUGGGAUCCCAAAGGGCUGCAUCCUCAAUAAAGUAGGGAAAAAAUGUCCACAGAGACUUGUCUGCUUCUGUCUCAACUGCAGUUGGAGCACAGGAAAGAUGGGUUUUCCCUGGAAUCUCUGGGACAAGCCCAGUUUCGUUUCUUUUCUUUUUCUUUUCUUUCUUUCUUUCUUUCUUUCUUUCUUUCUUUCUUUCUUUCUUUCUUUUUCUUUCUUUUCUUUCUCUCUCUCUCUCUCUCUUUCUUUCUUUCUUUCUUUCCUUUCUUCCUUUCUUUUCUUUUCUUUCUUUUUUUUUUUUUUUGAUGGAGUCUCACACUGUCGCCUAGGCUGGAGUGCAAUGGCGUGAUCUUGGCUCACUGCAACCUCUGCCUCCCAGGUUCAAGCGAUUCUCCUGUGUCAGCCUCCCGAGUAGCUGGGAUUACAGGCGACUGCCACCACACCCGGCUAAUUUUUUUGUAUUUUUAGUAGAGAUGGGGUUUCACUAUGUUGGCCAGGCUGGUCUUGAACUCCUGACCUCGUGAUCCACCUGCCUUGGCCUCCCAAAGUGCUGGGAUUACAGGCAUGAGCCACCACGCUCGGCCUCGACAAGCUCAGUUUCAAGUGGAUGUGGCAUCGGAAUUCACACUGCCUAUAUUGCUUCCCUCUCUGACGCCAGAAAAAAACUAACUGAAAAUAUAGUUUCAAGUGUUCCCCAGAUGCCUGAUGAAGCAAUUGUGAAGACUCCCUAGAGGAACGCAUUUUAAAUCUAGGCUUCAAAGUAUUCUCACAAAUAAACUUCCAGGAACAGGAGGUUACACUAAAACAUAUAUAUUUUAAUGCACAUAUAUGUAUAUUAAACAGAAGAGAAAAUAAGCUACAUGACAUGAGAUUCAGCAGAAACAACAUUGCUGAAUCAGACCAACAACAACCAAAGAUAUCGGAAUGAUCUGUUGUAUGUAUAACAUAAAAUAAUUAUGUGUGGUUUGCAUAAAGAAAUUAAAGAUGUGAUCAAAUGUAUGACAAAAGAAUGAGAGACUAUCAAAAGUGAUCAGGUGAAGUUGAAGCAGACCAAAUAGAAUUUCUAGAAAUGACAAAUAAGUUAAAAUUUAAAACUUAAAUUGAAAUGAAAGCCCAACACAUGAAGGGUCAAUUCUGGAAAAGAUGGAGUAAACACACUCUACAUUAUACCUACUGACUGUGAUUCUAAACUACGGACAGGAUGCAUGGGCCAGCUAGCUGAGAACUUGGAAACUGCAUAGUAGCCAAUAUAUUGGAGAAGGAAACAAGAAUUUGAAGUAUGAUUGAACUGGGGUUGAGUUUCCCAUUUAUUUUCCCCCCAGUUUUGCCUGACCUUGACUCACAUGUAGCCCAAAACCUGGAAGAGUGCACCAGGUAGGGGCAGAUAGAGCUCCAAGAGAAUAGAAAGAACUCCUUUUCUGGUUUGAGGAGCAGGAAGGUGGCUCCUAAAGAUCAGAUGUGGGAAGUUUUCCUGUUUAUGUGUUUUUUUCUCCAUCGUCUCCCACUCAAGCUGCCAGGUAGUAUUGCAAUGGAGGCAGUGGCAAUGGUGAUAGCAGCAUUAGCCAAGUAGAUGCCUAAAAUUCUUAGACAGAAAAAACUUCUCCUACCAGAAAAGCCGUGAGCCCAAGAGCAUGGGGAAAUUCCUGUUACUUCUGUCUCCACCCUCACACCCCAAUCCCUCUGCCUUCUGUUCUCCUGCUGCUUGGCCCCAGACACAGAUGCAGUUAUAAGUACAUAGCAGAGCUGGGAAAUUAAAGUCCUAGAUUUCUGGCUGAGGGACUGGAAAAGGAGGCCCCAAAGAGCCAAAAACUGAUGAGGGAGAUUGUAGAGAGGAGAGAGCAUAAAAGAGUGAUCCCAUACUUUUGUGUAUAAACUCCCAGAAUCACCUCCAAACUGUGCAGCAUGGAUCUGAUCCCAAACAAAACAUCAAAGACCUUGAGAACUAGUCUACAUAUGAAACCCAUCUGAAGAGUACUGCAAAUGGCUUUGAAAACUGAAUUGAUAUUGGUACCAGAACCCAGAGAAGGUAGGUGGAACUGGCAGCCUGGACCUAGCCUGGUCACUUGUCUGCUAAAAUUAAAAAAAAAAAAAAAUCAGCAUUCUCUUUAGGAUUUAAACAAGACCACUCACUGGUUCUGUGAGUUAAAAAAAUAAAAAUCGAGAUCCAGAGUCUCAUAACAUACUAUUCAAAAUGUCCAGGAUACAAUCUAAAAUUACUUUGGAUAUGAAAAACUAGAAAAAACUCAACUCACAAUAAAAAGACAAUCAAAUAGAUGCCAACCCUGAGACAACACAGAUGUUGAAAUUAUCAAAGACUUUAAAGCAGCUAUUAUUACCUUACUCCAAGAAGUAAGGGUGAAUACUCUGGAAUGAAUGAAAAAUAGCAAGUCCCAACAAAGAAAUAGAAGAUAUAAAAAAUAACCAAACUGAAAUUACAAAACUGAAAAAUGCAAUUUUAAAAUAAAAAAACAAUAACUGGAAAAACUAGCAGAAUGGAGAUGAGAGAACAAAGAGUCAGGGAACUUGAAUAUAGAUCAAUAGAAAUUAUCCAAUCUGAACAACAAAGAGAAAAAAGAUUGAAAAAAUUGAACAGGGUCUCAGGGACGAGAGGGACAAUACCAAAAUGUCAACUGGUCAUGUAAUCAGAGUCCUGGAAGGAAUGGAGCAACAGUGCAGUUCAGGAAAUAAUAAUUGAAAAAAAAUAACAGCUGGAAACUUCCCAGAAUUACAGCUUCAAGAAAUUCAGCAAACUUC